CCUCAAACUUACAUUGCCAGUCCCUUCUCAGACAGCAUAUAAGAAGACUAGGCACUUGUGUAGCUUCAUUAGAGACCUUAGUGAGAUUAAUGGUAACAGCAGAAAUAAAGGUCAAGUUUGCGGGCUUGGCAUCCCUUUUGAGGUGACAGUAAAGAUACUCCAGAGGAAUAAGAGUAAUGUGCUUAUCAUGGGCUAUUGUAGAAAAACAAAGAAGGGGGUUGCUAGACAAUAAAGUCAAGGAGUCAUUGAGUUUAAUCCAUCCCAAAUUUUCAGUUAAGGGGUAAGACAGGGGCAUCCAUCGACCUCCCAUCCAAGAAGUAUCAUUAGAUGACAAAGGCGGGUCAGCAUCCCACCACAUAAUAACAUUUCCAACAGUGGGAUUCAGAAUAUGAUUCCAGUAAACAUGUUCUUGAGCUGAUCCCACUUGGCAAAGGAUGAGAAUCACCAGCCACCCCAGCAUCCAUGUCUGUCUUACUUUCUCAAAAGCUCCCCCAAUUACUGCCAGAUACAUAAGAAACCAAUUCUCUGCAAUUGCAGGGGCUCCCAUGGCAACAAGCUGGAUAGUUGCCUGUUGAUCCAAUUUCUUUAGCUGCCCUCAGGUAAUGUCAGAUGCCUUCCGAGUCAUCGCUAUCAUUGCUGGUCGAUUCUCCAACGACAGGUCUUUCAUCAUCAGGAGGGGUUCAGUUGUCUCCUACCUGUUCUCGAGGAGAAAGCCCAAUAUUCCCCCUUUUUUGUUUGUUAAGAUAUACUUUAAGAGUUUGAUGAGCUCGCUCAACAUUGGCCUGACUGGUUGAGUUAUAAGGAAUGCCAGUCUUGUGUUGUAUGUGCCACAGUUGUAAAUGCAUAUGUAAAUCGA
rnacentral:lncRNA from 10 species